AGCAUUAAAUUAAAUCACUUUUUUUACUGAGCCAAAUUCUGUGACUUCCUUUGGAAUUAUAUGUGCUACGUUCUAUUUCUACAAAUCCAUGUAAAUGUAUAUAGGCAUGAUAUCUGUGCAAUCAUUACGCUAAAAUCCCCACAUAUAUCAUCUGUGAAACACGAAAUUCCACUUUAAGGAACAUUGGUUGAUCUCAGUUCCUGGAAAGCAGAGGGUAGAAGCUGCCAGAGGAGAGGAUGACACAACAUCCCAGCCUCACUCCUUCAGCACCUCCCAGCUGAUCCAAAGCCUCUUUUCCCUUGAACCUGGGAUUCACCCAACAGUGACAGAGACCAUGGCUUCAUAGAACUGUUUUGAAUAACAAGAAUGGCUAAGAGAGAAAACCUGCUUGCUGUCCUGACUUUAGCAAUUCUCUGAUAGAAAAGAGUACUCUCGUUUUUCCAAGUUUUUGUCAAGUGUUUUAUGUGACAGUGACACUCUUGGCCCCUUAACAGCAGUCUGAGGCUACUUGGAGGAUUUUCAAGGGCAGUGAUGUAUUUCACUGGUCAGUAGAGCCUGUGCCUGACGAAUGCAUUUCCAAGACCGUUGGCUCAGGUUAGAGAUGUUAGAAAUGACCCUGCCCUGAGAUUUUUCUCUAUUAGAUCUUCUGGAAACCUCGCCAUAAACAGACACACAGAACACUGGUCUGAAGCUGGGUGGCUUUUAUGUGUCUGUUUGGAUUAAAACAAUGAAAGGAGAUUUUGUUUCUUGCCAAAGCCUGCUCUUAAUUUCAUCAGCCUAUACCGCAAACAUAUAUACAUGACAUUCUGCUAUUAGGUGCAUUGGGUAGGACAGGGUAGAGAUUACAGUCGCCACUCAUCACCUUAUCAUCGCUGAUACCUCCUGCCUAUCAAGCCCCCCAAUGCCAUUUUCCUAUGCAAAGGAGAGAUUAUUUGGAGGAUCAUUCGCAUUUCAUCAAGAGACUAUCAAUUUGUCGGUUGCAAUGGUGAUGUUGGUUGACUGAUCAUGCCACAAAAGAACAUUAAAAACCUUUAAUGCUUUAUCAAAGUUGUUUAUAACCCAAAUAUUUGCACAAAAGGCCGGUCUGUCUCUUGGAGAAUACAAACAUUUGUUUUAAAACGGGAAUCUCUAACUGCAAAAUGAACACUAAAAGGUAGAAUUGAGCUAGAAAUGAACAUGACAAGGUGCAAUAUUCAUUGUGUGUAUCAGAUUUAAUUUCGCAUAAGAAAUGAAUUUCUUCAGCUUAUUUUUUAAUUAGCUUAAGCAAGUGCAUUCAGGAGCCAAUAACACAGACUUGCGGGAACUGAAUUACUGAAAGGGUUGGGAGCCCGGGCUCUAAAUCACAGGCCUUGAGCUGAUCUCAUAAUUAACACCGAGCUGAAGCCCUGCAUCGAAUGCUGCGGAAAUACCUUUGCCAAAGAGCGGAUGGGGAACACAGCAAUCGUUAUACCCAGGCAGUAGCAUCUCAGGGACUACAAAGCCUCGCCGAACAUUGGGAAGUCGGUUACAUCAAUGCGCUAAGCAGUUAAUGUCCUGUCAGGCACAUCUGUGUUUACUACCAUCAGAUAGUCCCAGCUGUUCACAUUGCCUCUGUUUGAUGGUCAUUCUGGGACCUGCGUGAUGUUGAGAAGCUUGUUAUUAGAGAAGUAAAUUCCUUACUGAAGAUUGAUCAAGGAAGGAUGUAAACUCCGGGAUGCUGGAGUUGGUUCAUAAAGUUGAGGACAUAGACGUGUACUGGCAAUUACAGAAGGUGAAUUUAUUUAGGACUCUUGAUCAAGGCUUUUAGGGGUCUGUUAUUGCUUCGGUUUAAAUUAUGCUUUCAAAUCAUUCCUGUAGUCAGGUUCUUUUAGGGCACCUCAAAUAGAUAUAAGCCAUUCCCUUCCUGUGGGCCCUGGAAGCAGGCAGGUGCAUUGCGACUAUACAGAUAAGGGAAAAAGAGCCAUUGAGAUGCCAAGAGCAACCUUUCAAUCAAACAGCUUUCUGCCGAGGCCAGGUGCUGUGGAUUUAGAAGAGGCAAGGUAACGUGUCUGUGCUGGGGGGUGGGGUUCUGUUUGCUUCUCACGGAUCUGCUCUCUGCCCUUCUGUACCGUGCUUUCUGCUCGGGGGGCAUCUCAGGAUUCCGAGCUCUCUGGCUUCCCCCUCUGGCUCCGCUGCUGAGGUUCCACGACAGGAGAGGCAAGGGAGGAUGAAGGACUUGUAUCUCUCCUGGAGAGUGACUCAGCAAAGUUAACUGGCUCAGAAUCCUCUAAAAGCUCCCACUGGGUUAAAAGAAGAACUCUUAGCUGCUCCGUGCUGCCUUUAUUUCUGGCUAUGGACCACCUUCGUGGAAUGACUCAAGGUCUCCACAGGUUUUCUACACCAGAGAGAUAGAACUCCUUGGACCAAGAAAAAAGUAUCAGCAAGCAGGAGAAAUAGCCACUAAUGUGUUACAUAUAUGAGAGGUUGUUUUUUGUUUUUUGUUUUCUUUUGUUAUGAGAAGACAGUUGGGAUGCCAAAGAUAGUUUCAACAUAUGAUUCAUUUAAUCUCUUUGAUUGUUGAAAGUCAGACUGUAAAAAAAAAAAAAAAAAAACAAAAAAACUAUUAAACCUUUUUUAAUAGCAAGAAUAGGAGCUUCUAUACAAAUUAGCUGAGAUAGUAUUCAGUCUCUACAAAUAGCUUGUAACAUAUCCAAAAAAACCAAUAAUAAUUUCCUUUUAUCUGUCAUUAAAAGCCAUGAACCUUGAGUAUAUAAAUGAAUCACAUGUGCUCCUUUAUCUUUAUUCUGUCCUUUCCUCUUUUAUCUUUGCUUAUAAAUAGAAGUUUUUACAUUAGAAGAAGCUGCAUGAUUAUUCUGAUUUAUUUAGUACCAAGUUUAUGUCUAUGCAUGCCAUUUUCGUGUGCAUUCACACAAAUCUUCUAUUCAAUUAGCCAUCUGGAAUAGAGAGCCUUUGUUUUCUGCAAUAUUUGGAUAUUGGGGACUUCAGUUUUGUCUAAUUGUAUCAUUGUAAUCUGAUUUUUUUUCACGUGUCUAUAUAAUGCAUGUUACUUUUUUUGUAUAUUUCAUAUCCCCCAUGAAAGUCUGUUUUCAUAAUAAAAUGUUUUACAACUAGCAGGGACCUUUGAAAUACCCAGUACAAAACUAUUCUGAUAACAAAGAAUGAGAUCCAGAGCUAUGUAGUGACACUUGGAACCCAGAUAUUCUGACUUCUAGUCUAGCGUUCUUCCUUUGGUAGGACUGUAUGUGCUUUUAAAGUAUUCUAAUUCAUCACCUGCUGACUUUAAUCCAUGGGUAAGGCAACUAUUAAUUUUCUGCAGAUAAAAAAGUUGAUUAGGUACAUUGGGAUUUUAAAGAGCUUCUUGGAGGUUAUUUCUCUCAUGAAGUCCAAUAAUGUAACUUGGAAGCUAAACCUCUUAAAUUAAUUUGAAAGGCACUGUAUAAUACCAUCUUUUCUCUCUCUUUCUCUUUCUCUCUCUCUUUCUCAUAUUCUCUCUUUUUUUCUCCCCCUUUCUCUUUCACACCCCCCCUCAUGCAGUACUAUAAUAGACACUCAACAUACAAAGACACAUGAAGCAUGGAUCCUGCUUUGAGGAGUUCAUGCUUCUUAAGGAAGACAGAGAAGUAAAUCUAUGUUUCGUGUGAGCCCAGCAAAGGAGAAGGAAGACUUAAAAUGAUCUGGGAAUGCUUCCUGAAUGAGGCACACUUAAACUGAAUCUCCAAGGAUGGAGAGGGAUUAGCAUAUAAAAGACACAAGUGAGAUCUUGAUAGAUGAGUGUCGUUUGCAACAGACAAAUGCUAAGCCAAUAAAUUUUCUUUUUAUAUCCAAUCUGAUAGUCCUUAAAGGAUUGUCACAUUUGCUAUCACAAAUAUGUUCGCUAUAUUCCCCUCUCUCUUCUCAUCCAGUAUAUACAAGCAGCAGAUGAUAAUAGAAGAAUUGGAGGGGGGAGGGGCAUGUUCAGGAGAGAUUCCUGGACAUGGAAUCAGUAAAAUCCAAUAUCAGCUCCCCCCUUCUCUAAGUUUCUGAUCUAGAAAAUAGCAUUUAACUCCUCUGAACUAAUUUAGUCUGUUCAACCUUUAAUUGAGAAAGAAUAAUAUCUUCUUUGCAACAUAUAAUGGUGGAUAUCAGAUGAAAAAUAAAGAAAUGCUAUAAAAAGUAUAUAGCAUCACACAGAUACAUAUCUGUUGUUAUCUACAUAUAAUUUAUAACAUAAAUUAUAUCUACAUAUAAUUUUGCCCUCUGUGUGCCAGUAGCGCUAAUGUUCAUCUGUCCAUCUGGGGGAUGGAGAGAGUUGGUGCCAUAUUCCAAACUGAUAAACACAUGCUUAUUCAGUAGAUAGGAUUUGUACUUUUCCUUUACUCUUCUCUUCACGUUGGUAAUAUUUAAUGUUUACUUUUUCUGUUCGGUCUGAAAUUGUCUUAUUCACUUCCAUCUUCGUGCACUUAGUAAAUUUCCCAAAAACAUUCUGAAAGGUGGAAAUCAUUGUUAUCCUCACUAAAUAUUUUAUGAGCAAAAAAUGGAAUUUGUAAACCUGAAUUAUAUAAGCAACUGAUCAACUUUUCACUAGCUUCAUAGACAUAGUCUUUUAAUUUAUUGUACACAAAACGAUAUUUGUUGGAAAGGUGGGUUUUCAGUGGAUGUUUUUAGAUGAUGCUAUUGGCUACCUGUGAUCCUUUCUGAACAUUCAUAGUGGUACUCUUAGCCACAUCCCAUUUCUUCAGUAAAUGUUUGCUAGCUACAUAUAAUGUAGAGCGAUGGUGUUGAAUUAUGUGCCAUGCAGAGAAACAGGAAGUUUCAAAUAGGAGCCUCCUAUCAUAUAUAAAGUUAUUUGACCAUACAAAGCAACACAUGUCUGAGUGUAUAAUGAGGAAUUUAGGCCAAAACAGCACAGUGCUUUAAAGGGAGGAGAGAUGUGGGAUGGACAGAGAAUGAUUUCAUAGAGAAUUGUAGUAAGAGAGCGAAUGUUUAGUGCCAGUCAUUGUUCUAAGCUUUUUAUAUGUAUUAACUCAUUUAAUCCUUGCAACAGCCUUUGAAUCAGGUACCAUUAUAUUCUCAUUUGAAUAAGGAGAUUGUGGCUGAGCAAGGUUGAAUAAUUUGCUAAUAGAACUGAGUCUGAACCUACACAUCCUUACUCCAGAGCCUACGUUUGUAGUUCCUCUACCAUGCCUCCUCCAAUACAAUGUUCAGGGCUGAGUUGGAUAUGACUGCUCAAAGGAAGGAUGGGGAAAGACUGAGUCACGGAGGUGAGAUCAGAAUAGCCCGGUUGGAAUGUAGGGCUCCUGCUGAAGAGCAGUGGAGGCCUCAACUGGAAAGUUGAGAUGAACUCACACUAUGAAGCUUUGAGUGAUAAGCUAAAUAAAUAGAAUGUUGUUGAGGCAGUGAAGACUGGUUAGCAAGUUUUCAGUCUGGCUUAAAAACAUUGAUAUACUGGUGUGCAGAAGUUUGCAAUUGGAUCUGUGUCUUCUAGCCUUUGAGUCAACUUUCAUGUGUCCAGAAAGAAGACCGUGCCUGUCUCUGAACGCUGCCACUGGCUGCCACAGCAGCAUCUGUUGGCCAUCAUCCUAAGAGUUUCUGCCUUCCCUAUAGGUGUCCAUGAAGUCCUAGGCUAAGCUAAUCUGUGACUUUGAGCCUUCUGAUAAGCAUAGCAGUCAAGUCUGCAUUGGAUUUAGGACUUUACCUUAAGAUCUUCAGACAAAGGAUGGAGUGGAGUGUGGCUAGGAGCUAGCCUGAGAAUGAAUCCAGUGCACAGAAGGAGAGCACCAUGACGAGAAUAAUAAAUGAAGGUCACACCCUCAUGAUAUCAUUAACUUCUCAAUCCUGUAUGCCUGAAGCCCACCCAACUUCUAGACUUUUCAGAUAUGUGAACCACUACAUUUCCUUUGUUAUUUGAACAGGUUGAGUAUGUUUUAUAUCACUUGUGAUAAAAAUCACCGUAAGUAAUAUAUUACCCAAUGCUAAGGAUUUUCCCUUGAUUUUAAGACAUCAGCUCUGCCUGAGCUGGUGACAUAGCUCCUAAUAUUGUCUUCUUCUUCUUCUUCUUUUUUUUAUGAGACCCUCUUCAUGACCUCUUCACCAGGACAAAUCCCAGUGAUUUUUCAUAGUUCAGCUCUGAAGCCCCAAAUCCCAAGUCAGUAUCUUCUUUCCCAGGACUGCUGAAGUCUCUGUAAAGCUGUAGGUGUCCACAGAAUGGCUGUAUAUCACACCCAGGGCUUUUGCAUCAAAGUACCCAGUGGAGGCCUCAUCCUGUUCAAAAUGACAAAUUAAAAUGAAUCCCAGAGCUUUAUUCUCUAAGAACAUAAGACAUGUUUUCUUUUUGAAUGUUUCAAUGCACUGUCUUCGGAAUCAAGCUCUCUAAAGAAUGUUAUUAUACUUUGAGCUUCUUGACACAUUUCCUAAUAAUUUGAAGCUUCUGACAUUUAUACAAUAAAAGAUUGCGCUCCUAGGAAAAAAAAAAAAUCAAUGAAUCUUUUUGGCAAUCGUCCUAAAUCUGUAGAGAUUAAAUUCACUUCCCAGACAUUGCUAUUCCAUAUCAAACACAGAGGCACGCAGUAUAAUUAAGAUAGUUGUAGAACCAUAUAUUUCAUGCCCUAGCUGUCUGCUUUAAACUAUCUUGGGAAGUUCAGAAAUAAUAGGGAAGCUACAUCUUAACCAGAGUAAUUACAUUUGCUAAGCAGAAUGGUAUGAGCAAGGGCUAUGUAAAGGAAUAAAAUAAAUCCACCAGAAAACCAAGAAUUGCUACAUUUGUUCUGAUAUAUAAACCUUGGUGAUAAAAAAAAAAAAAAAGAAAAAAAAAAAGUCUCACCC